rnacentral:sRNA from 1 species
UUGGGAGGCUGAGGCAGGAGAAUCACUUGAACCCAGGAGGCAGAGGUUGCAGUGAGCCGAGAUCGCACCAUUGCACUCCAGCCUGGGCAACGAACGAAACUCCAUCUCAAAAAAAAAAAAAAAAAGAGUAGUAUUUUUAACUUUCUUGAUUAUACCUUGUUUUAGGAGUCAACAAACUCUUCAUGUAAAUGGCCAGAAAUAUAUAGCUGCUGAAACUCUAGAAAAUUGUUGAAAAAUAUUUGUCUCUUUAGGUUCCAUGUAGCAGUAAACUCAUUUUUAGAACAGCACAAACCUGAAGUUGUAGAAAUCCAUGUUUCUAUGACACCUACCAUGCUUGCUAUACAGACUGCUAUACUGGACAUUUUAAAUGCAUGUCUAAAGGAACUAAAAUGCCAUAACCCAUCGCUUGAAGUGGAAGAUUUAUCUUUAGAAAAUGCUAUUGGAAAACCUUUUGACAAGACAAUCCGCCAUUAUCUGGAUCCUUUGUGGCACCAGCUUGGAGCCAAGACUAAAUCCUUAGUUCAGGAUUUGAAGAUAUUACGAACUUUGCUGCAGUAUCUCUCUCAGUAUGAUUGUGUCACAUUUCUUAAUCUUCUGGAAUCUCUGAGAGCAACAGAAAAAGCUUUUG